CAACAUAUAGAGACAGUCCCUACCCAACAGUGGGCUCACAGUCUAUUCAUAGGUUUGUUUCAUAUGUUGUUUUCCGGACUUUUUCUCACCUCGGCUCAAGGACCCUGCUGUUUCCCAAGAAACCCAUCAGAACGGAAAACAGCAGCUGUCGACAAUGGCAGGCCGGGAACAAGGAUCCACUCCAAAAAGAGGCAUUGCGGGAGAGGCAGGAGCCGUCAGUGCUAUUUACUGAGCGCUUACCGUGUGCAGUGCUCUGCACAUAGUAAGCGCCCAAUAAAUGCGAUUGAUGAUGAUGAUGAUGCAGCAGUACAAUACGACGGAAUUGGCAGGCACGUUCCAGAAGUUGUCCAGAUUUUGGAGAAACGGGAGACCGUGACGGCCGGCGAGGAGGUGAGCAGGAUAUCCUCUGAAGGGCGUGAGUUGUCGUUUCUCCUCCAGAACCGGCGAUUUUUUUAUAUUAAUGCCUGUCUCCCCCCCGCCUUCAGCGUACGAUCCCCGUGAGGGAUCUUAUCUACCACCGGUUGC